AAGUCGUAACAAGGUUUCCGUAGGUGAACCUGCGGAAGGAUCAUUACCUAGAGUUGUGGGCUUUGCCUGCUAUCUCUUACCCAUGUCUUUUGAGUACUUACGUUUCCUCGGUGGGUUCGCCCGCCGAUUGGACAAUUUAAACCCUUUGCAGUUGCAAUCAGCGUCUGAAAAACAUAAUAGUUACAACUUUCAACAACGGAUCUCUUGGUUCUG
rnacentral:misc_RNA from 1 species